rnacentral:lncRNA from 1 species
GUGCUGGAGAGUGAGGGACAGUGAGUCCAGCAGACAGGCGAGAGAAGGGGAGAGGAAAGAAUGUGUUGAGCAUGACAAGAGGGCAGUGGGUUGAAAGGACUGCAGGGAAUGUUCCCUGA